AGUGACAUAUUGCUAGUCUGUGGGUAGCCACCAGGUGUGUGAUGCAGGGGGGAUCCUAACAGGUGUAGAGCAGAAAUAUGGUGUUUCACUAUUUUUAGCAUGUUUGGAACAUAGUCAAGAAGAAUAGGUGAGAGCAUAUCUCUGCCUACAAAACAAUGGCUUUUCAAAGACACGAAGAUAGCUAAGGUUUCCCCAAGUUCCAUAUUUCUCAUUCUACAUCCCCAUCUCCUCUAUCUCCUGAUGGUUGCAGAGCACUCUGAACUUUUUCUAUUAAUCAAAAUUACAGAAACACCUGUACUAAAUAGCUUUGUGCUGUUCGCUCCAAGGCACCCUGGUGGAAAUCUAUCUGCAGUGCCCAACUGGGCAAGUGUCUCUUCUGAAUUACUGGAAAUCACUGCUCAAUAACAAUUGGAAUAUCUUGUUCUUCUCUUGUGGCAGUCAAACAGCAGGGAGAGCUGUAGCUUCGACCAUAGAGAGGCUCAGAAAAAAAUCAUACUCUUACCAAAUACUGGUAAUUUUCACAUGCACAGGGACUUCUGAUUGAAUUGGAUUCCUCUGCUUUGUCUCCCCAUCUGCAAACACAGCUUCGUUCUUGUAGUCCAUGCCACAGGUUUCAAAACCAGGACCAGAAAAUGCAGAGCACUUGUCAGUUAAGCCUUCUUGCAAAUGCCAGAAGUUAAACAAUUACUCCCCCUGGAGAGGAAACUAUAUUAUUUCCAUAUGACUUGUUGCAGACCUUCUGGUGAGUUUUUUUUAAUGUGUUGUUUCUGGCUUUUUGUGCACUGCAACAUUUUUGGGGUGCAUUCAACUUCAAAUUGCAUUAUAAUGUCUGUGUAGAAUAGCCUUCAGUCUCUCUCUUUAUAUAUUUACUUACUUAGGCGAUCCCUUGUAGUUCGAGGAUGAUUGUCUUCCAUCUUUGGUGUCUUGGGGGUGGGUUCUUAGGUGGCUGAAGAGACCUAUUCUUGAUCUGCAUGUUCUCCCGCAGUGAGGACAUUGGUUUCCAGGUGGAAGGCGGUCCCGGUCAGGGUUGGCUUGACGGGCCUUCCUCUUGGCAUGUUUCUCCCUUAAGCCCUCCAUUCGUGCCUCUUCGAACUCCGCAGCACUGCUGGUCACAGCUGACCUCCAAUUAGAGUGCUCAAGGGCCAGGGCUUCCCAGUUCUCAGUGUCUAUACCAUAGUUUUUAAGGUUGGCUUAAAGCCCAUCUUUAAAUCUCUUUUCCUGCCCACCAACAUUUCCCAUUCUUGAGUUUGGAGUAGAGUAACUGCUUUGGGAGAUGGUGAUCGGGCAUUCAGACAACGUGGCCAGUCCAGAGGAGUUGAUGGCGUAGGAACAUUGCUUCAAUGCCGGUGGUCUUUGCUUCUUCCUGCAUGCUGACAUUUGUCCGCCUGUCUUCCCAAGAGAUUUGCAGGAUUUUUAUGAGGCAACGCUGAUGGAAACGCUCUAGGAGUUGAGUGUGACAUCUGUAGACGACCACGUUUCACAGGCGUAGAGCAGGGUUGGGAGGACAAUGGCUUUGUAAACAAGCACCUUGGUAUCUCUACAGAUGUCCCGAUCAUCAAACACUCUCUGCUUCAUUCUGAAAAAUGCUGCGCUCGCGGAGCUCAGGCAAUGUUGUAUUUCAGUGUCAAUGUUGACUUUUGUGGAGAGGUGGCUGCCAAGGUAGUGGAAAUGGUCAACAUUUUCUAAUGUUGCACCAUUAAGUUGUAUUCUUGGCAUUGCAGAGGGAUUAGCUGGUGCCUGUUGGAAGAGCACUUUGGUUUUCUCGAUGUUCAAUGAGAGGCCAAGCUUCUCGUAUGCUUCUGCAAAGGUGCUUAGAGUGGCUUGUAGGUCUUCUUCUGAGUGCGCACAGACUACGUUGUCAUCGGUAUAUUGGAGUUCUAUAACCGAUGUUGUAGUGACCUUGGUUUUGGCUCUUAGUCUGCUGAGGUUAAAUAGCUUGCCAUCUGUCCAAUAGAUAAUUUCCACACCGGUGUGAAGCUUCCCAUCAACAAGGUGUAGUAUCAUAGCGAUGAAGAUGGAAAAUAAGGUAGGGGUAAUAACACAUCCCUGCUUGACACCUGAUUCCACCUUAAAUAGAAUAGCCUUCAGUCUUGCUCGUUAUAUAUGUGUCUGGCAAUUUAUGCUGACCCCAUGAAUUAGACGAGAAGUACUCAGAGGUGGAUUUGCUAGUUCCUUUCUCUGAAAUAUAAUUUACAGCUUGGUUUUUUGUGUGUCUUCUAUACAAGUACUAACCAGGGCAAACACUGCUUAGGUUACAGGAUCAGCUGGAAUCUGGUGCUUUUUGAGUAUUCUAUACCA